UCUGAAUAUGGGGGGACCAUCCUCCAAGGCUAAAUACUCCUGACUGACCGAUAGUGAACCAGUACCGUGAGGGAAAGGCGAAAAGAACCCCGGCGAGGGGAGUGAAAAAGAACCUGAAACCGUGUACGUACAAGCAGUGGGAGCACGCUUAGGCGUGUGACUGCGUACCUUUUGUAUAAUGGGUCAGCGACUUAUAUUCUGUAGCAAGGUUAACCGAAUAGGGGAGCCGAAGGGAAACCGAGUCUUAACUGGGCGUUAAGUUGCAGGGUAUAGACCCGAAACCCGGUGAUCUAGCCAUGGGCAGGUUGAAGGUUGGGUAACACUAACUGGAGGACCGAACCGACUAAUGUUGAAAAAUUAGCGGAUGACUUGUGGCUGGGGGUGAAAGGCCAAUCAAACCGGGAGAUAGCUGGUUCUCCCCGAAAGCUAUUUAGGUAGCGCCUCGUGAAUUCAUCUCCGGGGGUAGAGCACUGUUUCGGCAAGGGGGUCAUCCCGACUUACCAACCCGAUGCAAACUGCGAAUACCGGAGAAUGUUAUCACGGGAGACACACGGCGGGUGCUAACGUCCGUCGUGAAGAGGGAAACAACCCAGACCGCCAGCUAAGGUCCCAAAGUCAUGGUUAAGUGGGAAACGAUGUGGGAAGGCCCAGACAGCCAGGAUGUUGGCUUAGAAGCAGCCAUCAUUUAAAGAAAGCGUAAUAGCUCACUGGUCGAGUCGGCCUGCGCGGAAGAUGUAACGGGGCUAAACCAUGCAC
rnacentral:rRNA from 1 species